ACAGGUAAAUGGAUCCACUGUAAGGGAGCAUUUUGAUAUAACACUGCUGGAGGAUCGCUUGAGCUCAGGAGUUCUGGGCUGCAGUGCGCUAUGCCGAUCGGGUGUCCGCACUAAGUUCGGCAUCAAUAUGGUGACCUCCCGGGAGCGGGGGACCACCAGGUUGCCUAAGGAGGGGUGAACCGGCCCAGGUCGGAAACGGAGCAGGUCAAAACUCCCGUGCUGAUCAGUAGUGGGAUCGCGCCUGUGAAUAGCCACUGUACUCCAGCCUGGGCAACAUAGCGAGACCCU
rnacentral:SRP_RNA from 1 species